rnacentral:rRNA from 1 species
AUUGAACGCUGGCGGCAUGCUUUACACAUGCAAGUCGAACGGCAGCGGGGAGGAGCUUGCUUCUCUGCCGGCGAGUGGCGAACGGGUGAGUAAUACAUCGGAACGUGUCGAGAAGAGGGGGAUAACCACCCGAAAGGGUGGCUAAUACCGCAUAAAUUCUGAGGAAGAAAGCUGGGGACCUAGGAAUAGGCCUAGCGCUUUUUGAGCGGCCGAUGUCGGAUUAGCUAGUUGGUGAGGUAAAGGCUCACCAAGGCGAAGAUCUGUAGCGGGUCUGAGAGGAUGAUCCGCCACACUGGGACUGAGACACGGCCCAGACUCCUACGGGAGGCAGCAGUGGGGAAUUUUGGACAAUGGGGGCAACCCUGAUCCAGCCAUGCCGCGUGUAUGAAGAAGGCCUUAGGGUUGUAAAGUACUUUUGUUAGGGAAGAAAAGUCAGCUGCGAAUAAUGGCUGAUACUGACGGUACCUAAAGAAUAAGCACCGGCUAACUACGUG